rnacentral:misc_RNA from 1 species
AUGCGAUAAGUAAUGUGAAUUGCAGAAUUCAGUGAAUCAUCGAAUCUUUGAACGCACAUUGCGCCCCCUGGUAUUCCGGGGGGCAUGCCUGUUCGAGCGUCAUUUCACCACUCAAGCCUCGCUUGGUAUUGGGCAACGCGGUCCGCCGCGUGCCUCAAAUCGUCCGGCUGGGUCUUCUGUCCCCUAAGCGUUGUGGAAACUAUUCGCUAAAGGGUGUUCGGGAGGCUACGCCGUAAAACAACCCCAUUUCUAAGGUUGACCUCGGAUCAGGUAGGGAUACCCGCUGAACUUAA